ACGAACCGUGCGAACGUUGUUCGGAAUCACUGGGCUUAAAGGGCGCGUAGGCGGAUUGCCAAGUCCGGGGUGAAAUCGUCCGGCCCAACCGGACAAGUGCCUUGGAUACUGGCGAUCUUGAGCGAGGUAGGGGCAGCUGGAACUUCCGGUGGAGCGGUGAAAUGCGUUGAUAUCGGAAGGAACGCCGGUGGCGAAAGCGAGCUGCUGGACCUUUUCUGACGCUGAGGCGCGAAAGCCAGGGGAGCAAACGGGAUUAGAUACCCCGGUAGUCCUGGCCCUAAACGAUGGGUACUGGGUAGUGGACUUGACAUGGGUUCACUGCCGAAGCCAAAGUGCUAAGUACCCCGCCUGGGGAGUAUGGUCGCAAGGCUG
rnacentral:rRNA from 1 species